AUGGAUCCUCCUGGCCCGGGGAUACAGCUGGGCACGCUCUCCGGCAGCCGCCGCAGCAUGGGCUCCUCCUACGGCUCGCGCCGCUCCGGAGGUGGAGGUGGCUCCAUCUCCCACUCCUUCCGCCAGCCCGCCGGCGCCGACGACCCCUUCGGCCGCGCCGCAUCGCAGCAGGGCCACGACGACGACGAGGAGAACCUCCGAUGGGCGGCCCUGGAGAAGCUGCCCACCUACGACCGCAUGCGCCGGGCCGUCCUCCUAAGUCACGCUGGUGGCGCCGACGGUGAUGAGCUCCAGGGCUUGGUGGACAUCGAGCAGCUGGCCAGCGGCGAGGCCGGCCGGGCCCUGCUGGAGAGGGUGUUCCAGGACGACAGCGAGCGGUUUCUGACAAGAUUGAGGGACCGUGUGGACCGGGUGGGCAUUGACCUGCCGGCGAUCGAGGUGAGGUACCAGGGCUUGUCGGUGGAGGUGGACGCCUUCGUCGGCACCAGCGCCUUGCCCACGCUCUGGAACUCGGCAACUAACUUCCUACAGAGUCUUGUCGGACGCCUCGCUUCCUCCAACAAGAAGACCAUCAACAUACUCCGAAACGUCGACGGCAUCCUCAAACCAUCCAGGAUGACCCUUCUGCUUGGACCUCCAUCUUCAGGAAAGAGCACACUCAUGCGAGCCCUCACUGGCAAGCUAGACAAAACCCUCAAGGUAUCUGGCAGCAUCACCUACUGUGGUCAUACGUUUGAGGAGUUCUACCCGGAGAGGACCAGCGCGUACGUUAGCCAGUACGAUCUACACAACGCAGAGAUGACUGUAAGGGAGACGCUCGAUUUCUCCAGGCGCUGCUUAGGUGUGGGUGCCAGAUAUGACAUGCUCGCUGAGCUUGCCGCCAGGGAGCGUGAAGCAGGCAUAAAGCCAGACCCUGAGAUCGAUGCUUAUAUGAAAGCUACUGCCGUGCAAGGACAGCAGACUAACAUUGUUACCGAUCUUACUCUCAAGGUGCUUGGGCUUGACAUUUGUGCCGAUAUGCCCAUUGGUGACGAGAUGAUCAGAGGAAUUUCUGGCGGGCAAAAGAAGCGUGUAACAACCGGGGAGAUGUUAACGGGACCUGCAAGGGCUUUGUUCAUGGAUGAGAUUUCCACUGGUUUGGACAGCUCUAGCACAUUUGAGAUUGUGAAAUACAUAAGGCAGCUGGUCCAUGUGAUGAAUGAGACCGUGAUGAUCUCCCUCCUACAACCACCGCCAGAGACCUACAACCUCUUUGAUGACAUUAUUCUGCUAUCAGAAGGGUACAUAGUGUAUCAUGGGCCACGCGACAACAUCUUGGACUUCUUUGAAGCUGCCGGUUUCCGGUGCCCUGAAAGGAAAGGAGUUGCUGACUUUCUUCAAGAGGUCACUUCCAAGAAAGACCAGCAGCAGUACUGGUACCUUGACCAGCAGCAGUAUCGUCACGUGUCUGUCCCAGAGUUUGCCCAACGUUUCAAGUCAUUCCAUGUAGGGCAGCAGAUGCUCAAGGAGCUGCAAAUCCCUUUUGACAAGUCCAAAACUCAUCCUGCUGCCUUGACCACCAACAAGUAUGGGCAGUCCAGCUGGGAGUCAAUCAAGACAGUGCUGUCGAGAGAGCAGCUACUGAUGAAGCGCAACUCCUUCAUCUACAUCUUCAAGGUUACCCAGUUGAUCAUCCUUGGGCUCAUGGCCAUGACUGUGUUCCUCAGAACAAAGAUGCCAUAUGGCCACAUCUCCGACGGCGGCAAAUUCUUUGGUGCUCUGACUUUCAGUUUAAUCACCGUCUUGUUCAAUGGGUUUGCUGAGCUACAACUGACAAUUAAAAUGCUUCCUACCUUCUACAAACAAAGGGAUUUCCUCUUCUUCCCCCCGUGGACCUUUGCGCUGGUAACAAUCAUCUUAAGAAUUCCUGUUUCGCUUAUGGAGUCCGCGGUAUGGGUCGUCCUCACCUACUAUGUCAUGGGCUUCGCACCUGCUCCAGGAAGGUUCUUUCGUCAGCUUUUAGCUUUCUUUGGUACUCACCAAAUGGCAAUGGGUUUGUUCCGAUUUCUUGGUGCUGUUUUGAAAUCAAUGGUUGUGGCCAACACCUUUGGGAUGUUUGUGAUGCUUCUUAUUUUCAUAUUUGGAGGAUUUAUCAUACCUAGAGGUGACAUCCGACCAUGGUGGAUCUGGGCUUACUGGUCAUCUCCUAUGAUGUACAGUCAAAAUGCAAUAUCAGUCAAUGAAUUCCUUUCUAGUAGGUGGGCCAACACAAACACUGAAGCAUCUAUCAAAGCAUCCACAGUAGGCGAGGCUAUUCUUAAAUCCAAAGGCUUGUUUACUGGAGAUUGGGGAUUUUGGAUUUCCAUGGGAGCCAUCCUAGGGUUCACUAUUUUGUUCAACAUAUUGUACAUUCUGGCACUUACGUACUUGAGCCCUCCCAGCGGCUCAAACACAGUUUCAGACAAGGAGAAUGAGAAUGUGACAAACACUUCAACACCGAUGGGUACCAAUAUUAAUGAAGCCACAAACCGACCAACUCAGACUCAAAUCACCUUGCCUUUCCAGCCUCUUGCACUAUCUUUCAACCAUGUAAACUAUUACGUGGACAUGCCUGCAGAAAUGAGGGAGCAAGGAUUCGCCGAAAGUCGUCUCCAGUUGCUCUCUGAUAUCAGUGGUGCUUUUAGGCCAGGUGUUCUGACAGCAUUAGUUGGUGUGAGUGGAGCUGGGAAAACCACUCUAAUGGAUGUCUUGGCAGGAAGGAAAACUAGUGGAUCUAUUGAGGGAAGCAUCACCCUCUCUGGUUACCCUAAAAAACAAGAAACUUUUGCCCGCAUCAGUGGCUAUUGUGAACAGACUGAUAUCCAUUCACCAAAUGUUACUGUCUAUGAAUCCAUUCUCUACUCUGCCUGGUUGCGUCUUUCCUCGGAUGUUGACGAAAAAACAAGAAAGAUGUUUGUGGAGGAAGUCAUGACUCUUGUAGAGCUUGAUGUCUUGCGUAAUGCUAUGGUUGGUCUCCCUGGAGUGGACGGGUUAUCCACUGAACAAAGAAAGAGACUGACAAUUGCCGUCGAGCUGGUAGCAAAUCCUUCAAUCAUAUUCAUGGAUGAGCCAACUUCUGGUCUUGAUGCUAGAGCCGCGGCCAUUGUAAUGCGCGCGGUGAGAAAUACAGUCAACACUGGGCGAACUGUGGUUUGCACAAUCCAUCAACCCAGCAUCGAUAUAUUCGAGUCUUUUGAUGAGCUUCUGCUUAUGAAAAGAGGAGGACAGGUUAUUUAUGCUGGUGAACUUGGUCGCCACUCUUAUAAACUUGUUGAAUAUUUUGAGGCAAUUCCAGGUGUUGAAAAGAUCACAGAAGGAUAUAAUCCCGCAACAUGGAUGCUGGAAGUUAGCUCCCCCUUAGCCGAGGCUCGCCUGAACGUAAAUUUUGCUGAAAUUUAUGCUAAUUCUGAUCUGUAUAGGAAAAACCAAGAACUUAUUAAGGAAUUAAGCAUUCCCCCGCCAGGCUACGAGGAUCUCUCAUUUCCUACCAAGUAUUCUCAGAAUUUCUACAACCAAUGCAUUGCAAACUUCUGGAAGCAAUACAAAUCAUAUUGGAAGAAUCCGCCCCACAACGCCAUGCGCUUUCUCAUGACGAUGAUCAAUGGCCUUGUAUUUGGCACGGUGUUUUGGCAGAAAGGGACAAAAAUAGGCUCGCAACAAGAUCUGUUCAAUCUACUCGGAGCCACAUAUGCUGCUGUCUUCUUCCUUGGGGCUGCCAACUGCAUCACUGUUCAGCCUGUUGUGUCAAUCGAGCGAACGGUUUUCUACCGUGAAAAGGCGGCAGGGAUGUACUCUCCGUUAUCCUAUGCAUUCGCUCAGACAUGCGUGGAGGUGAUCUACAACAUCGCGCAGGGGAUUGAAUACACGGUGAUCAUCUAUGCGAUGAUUGGAUAUGAGUGGAAAGCGGCAAAGUUCUUUUAUUUCCUCUUCUUCAUAGUUUCAAGCUUCAACUACUUCACAUUGUUUGGCAUGAUGCUGGUAUCAUUGACCCCGUCUUCCAUGCUCGCAAACAUACUGAUAUCGUUUGUACUCCCUCUUUGGAACCUGUUUGCUGGGUUCCUCGUCGUCAGACCGUUGAUACCGAUCUGGUGGAGGUGGUACUACUGGGCCAACCCUGUGUCAUGGACCAUCUACGGCGUGGUGGCGUCGCAGUUUGGCGACAACAAGAGUCCUCUGAAGGUCCCCGGCGGGAGCGACACGUUUGUGAAGCAGUUCUUGGAGGACAAUCUGGGCAUCAAGCACGAUUUCCUUGGGUAUGUGGUGCUGGCGCACUUUGCCUUCAUCAUCGCCUUCUUCUUUGUGUUUGGCUACUCCAUCAAGGUGUUGAACUUCCAGAAACGUUAG
rnacentral:rRNA from 1 species